rnacentral:tRNA from 1 species
GGCCCGUUGGUCAAGUGGUUAAGACACGGCCCUUUCAAGGCUGGGACAGGAGUUCAAUUCUCCUACGGGCUACCA